AUAUACUGAGAAUUUGACGUUUCGCGCGGGAUUUAAUGCCUCUCAUUGUACAGACAUACUAAACCCCCGUAAAUCUUGCUAAACAAAAACUUCUUAUCUAUAUACACUGAUUUUUACAGCACUCUAUUAAGGUGCACACGAACUUAUA
rnacentral:lncRNA from 1 species